GUCGGGAAUCUUGGGCAAUGGGCGAAAGCCUGACCCAGCGACGCCGCGUGAGGGAUGAAGGCCUUCGGGUCGUAAACCUCUGUCGGGAGGGAAGAAUGGCGGUAGGGCGAAUAGUCCUGCCGUUUGACGGUACCUCCAAAGGAAGCGCCGGCUAACUCCGUGCCAGCAGCCGCGGUAAUACGGAGGGCGCAAGCGUUGUUCGGAAUCACUGGGCGUAAAGCGCGUGUAGGCGGCCGGGCAAGUCGGAUGUGAAAUCCCGAGGCUCAACCUCGGAACUGCACUCGAAACUGCUCGGCUCGAGUCCCGGAGAGGAUGGCGGAAUUCCCGGUGUAGGGGUGAAAUCCGUAGAUAUCGGGAGGAACACCAGUGGCGAAGGCGGCCAUCUGGACGGUGACUGACGCUGAGACGCGAAAGCGUGGGGAGCAAACAGGAUUAGAAACCCGAGUAGUCC
rnacentral:rRNA from 1 species